GUAGGUGGCAGGCGUUGUCCGGAAUUAUUGGGCGUAAAGCGCGCGCAGGCGGUUCUUUAAGUCUGAUGUGAAAGCCCACGGGCUCAACCGUGGAGGGUCAUUGGAAACUGGAGAACUUGAGUACAGAAGAGGAAAGCGGAAUUCCACGUGUAGCGGUGAAAUGCGUAGAGAUGUGGAGGAACACCAGUGGCGAAGGCGGCUUUCUGGUCUGUAACUGACGCUGAGGCGCGAAAGCGUGGGGAGCAAACAGGAUUAGAUACCCUGGUAGUCCACGCCGUAAACGAUGAGUGCUAAGUGUUAGGGGGUUUCCGCCCCUUAGUGCUGCAGCUAACGCAUUAAGCACUCCGCCUGGGGAGUACGGCCGCAAGGCUG
rnacentral:rRNA from 1 species